ACAGAGAUGUGGCCUGUCGCUUCACACCGGGCGUGUGAAGAGGAAAGUCCGGGCAACACAGAGCAUCACACUUUCGAAAUGAAAGGCAGCGGCGACGUUGGGAAAGAUGUGGAAGAGAAUGACCGCCCCGCAGCUGUAAAGGCUGCGGAGCAAGGGUGAGAAGGCGGGGUAAGAGCCCACCGCCUCCGACGGUGACGCCGGAGGGCGCACAUCCUGUGAGUUGCAAGACCGAAUAUACCGGCAGUCAAGGGUUGCUCGCCCAUUGCCGGGGGGUAGGUUGCUAAAGGCAGUCGGCAACGUCUGAUUUAGAUAAAUGACGGGCCCUGCUCCGCAAGGAACAGGACAUAACC
rnacentral:RNase_P_RNA from 1 species